rnacentral:lncRNA from 1 species
AAAAAAAAUAGUUGUUACCUACACUGAUAUUAAAACUCCAUUAUAAUUUAUGUGCGAAAACCAUAUAGAAGCAGGUUUUCUGCCUCCAACAAUCUUUUAUGUGCCACUUUUAAAUUUUAUUUGUGGACAAUAAAUUUCAAAGUCUAUGCAUGUGUAUACCACUAGCAUUGCAAUGCAUUAUAAAGGUUACAUUAGUACAACCUAUUUAAGCUGCCAAUAUUUUUGAAGAGCACAAACUUGUAUACCAACGGUUGCAAAAAUGUAUCGCCAUCUUAUUUCUUCGCUGCUACUGUACGAGUUUUCCCAAAGUAUUAUCAUUAACAGUAAUACACAUCGCAUUUCAGCCAAAUAUGUGGAUGUUCAGUGUAUUAUAUCUGGGAUAGCAAGAAUAAGUUCUGUCCAAAAAAAUGCAAUCGCGUCGGAAUCAAAUUCUAAGACGAUGAACUCCAAUGAACAUGUGUCCCGCUCAUGCAAUGACUAUUGGUUAAAUCAUGCGAUGCGCUGGACGCAAUGGAAGAACACAGUGGUCCCACAUUCUCCAGCAGCACUCGUACAGACUCCCACGCUCUUGUUGGUAUCAUCCCCGUAGCUGCUAACAUCAACACGACCAGAUAAUUUACUAUUUCGUGGAUUUCUAACUGGAUCCCGUUAGAAUAUGUAUUAACUUUUAUUCUCCUUAAUAAAUGUGUAUUACUGUAUGCGUA